rfam:Citrus clementina cultivar Clemenules unplaced genomic scaffold scaffold_7, whole genome shotgun sequence.
GCUUUCAUAGCUCAGAGCACCCGUUUAGUAAGCGGGAGGUCUUGAGUUCGACUCUCAAUGAAAGCA